AACGAACGCUGGCGGCAGGCCUAACACAUGCAAGUCGAGCGCGCCCUUCGGGGUGAGCGGCGGACGGGUGAGUAACGCGUGGGAACGUGCCCUUCUCUGCGGAAUAGCCUCGGGAAACUGAGAGUAAUACCGCAUACGCCCUUUGGGGGAAAGAUUUAUCGGAGAAGGAUCGGCCCGCGUUGGAUUAGGUAGUUGGUGGGGUAAUGGCCCACCAAGCCGACGAUCCAUAGCUGGUUUGAGAGGAUGAUCAGCCACACUGGGACUGAGACACGGCCCAGCCUCCUACGGGAGGCAGCAGUGGGGAAUCUUAGACAAUGGGGGCAACCCUGAUCUAGCCAUGCCGCGUGAGUGAUGAAGGCCUUAGGGUUGUAAAGCUCUUUCAGCUGGGAAGAUAAUGACGGUACCAGCAGAAGAAGCCCCGGCUAACACCGUG
rnacentral:rRNA from 1 species